AUGCGCUACAUCAGAUAAAGACAAAAGAGAGCCAGCAAAGAGGACCCCAGCCCCAGCUUGAUGUUGUGGGGAGCUAUGAAAGACUGUGGGACAUCUACUUCAGAGUCAUCCUGGCCCCAGGGCAGAGGAUCUGGGUGUUAUCCAUCAACUGUCACUUACACUCUGACAGGUUAUCAGCUCCAGCUCAAAUAACAUGAGAAUGAGAAAGGACUACUGCAGCAUGUUCAACAUAUGAAACUCUUCCCAUGAGCUGCUUGGAAAUGGCACAUCAAAAAGCACCAUUUGAUGAAGAAAAAUAUGCUCUUAAAGAUAACUUCUAAUGCCUUCUAUGUCAUAGCUUCAACUGCAUUCCUCAUGUUCUGAACAGUUUCAGAGAGCAAAAACCAUAUGAGACAUAUACCAAGAAAAUAUUCUAAUGAGGAUUACCAUUCUGAGUGAAACAAGUAAAUAAACCAGGAAGACUUGUCUUGA